GCUUCAGGCUCCACCCUUGCUGGGAUCCUGCCUGCUUAGAGGGACCCUAUUGCCUGCAGCUAGGACUGCUGCUAGGAUGUAGAGGUGUGCUCUCAGUUCUGCUGACACAGGCCUGAGGAGAAAAGCUAAAUCAAGCUGUAUAACCCUCACAACAGAAGGCUUAUGUGCCAUCAUUUGGAAGGCCACAGAAGUGCCAAAUGCCCAACAGUAUUUGAAAAGGAGCUGAUGGCAGCAAGGAGCAAUGGCAGCAGGUGCUUGCUAAGAAUACCUUUGGAAGAGAGAGAGGAAGAGCAAAUAUGCCUGUGGGCCUUGGGAAAAUUACAAUAUACUACAGCUGUGCCUUCCAAAUCAAGAGUCAAGCUCUCCUGUGCAUGAACUCACACAGGCACCAGAAAGAGGCCUACAUGACAACAAGUAUGAAAAGAAAAAAGAUUGAACAAAACAGUUGUUUCCUGAGCUGAGAAGCACAGAAGAUCAGGUGUUUGGGUGCUGGCAAAGAACAUGGGAGACCUGGAGUCAAUAUCUUUACCUGCUGCAAUCCUUUGCAUUUGAGCUGGGUGAACCACUUAGAGUUUGUCUGCACCAGGUCUGCCAAUGAUUAAGCUCUUCUCUCUUCUUGGGAAUGAAAGCUUUGCCAAUGUAAAGCACUGAUACAUCACAGAAUCACAGAAUGUGCUGAGUUGGAAGGAACUCAUCAGGAUCAUCGAGUCCAACUCCUGACCCUGCACAGGACAGCCCAAGUGUCACCACGUGCAUGAGAGCAUUGUCCAAGUGCUUCCUGAGCUCUGGCAGACUUGGUGCUGUGACCAUUUCCCUGGGGAUCCUGUUCCAGUGCCUAACCACACUCUGCAGGAAGAACCUUUUUGUAAUAACCAACUUAAACCUCCCCUGACACAGCUUCAGGCCUUCCCUAGGGUCCUGUCACAGGUCACCACAGAAAAGAGAUCAGUGUCUGUCCCUCCUCUUCCCCUCACAAUGAAGUCGGAGAAAGAAAGUGUAGUCAAAAAAGCUUGUAUUUCAGCCACAGCUUUGUACAAACACUUUUCCAGCACCAGUGAGUUUUACCAGGGAAGUGUCUCUCUCUGUGGAGAUGGUGUGUGUCAAGGCUGUGCUUCAUACCAACCUGUAACUCACCGGCAGAAAACAGGGUUUUGCUGCAAGAGUGGUGCAGCAAUGCAGCUCACCCCUCUUUGCCUCUAGACCGAUCUGUAGGCCAACAGAAGUCUUUGGUAAUCCAGCCUUUGGGGCUAAACCAGCCUGAUGGGGUGCAAAGCUGUCCCUCAAGUCAUGUGAAAGAAAAAAUAAAAAUAUCUUCAUGAGGUCUAAGGAGCCUCCCCGCUCAACACCUGUGUGAAUGGCACGAAGUUCAUGAACCCUGUGCCUAUGAUUUGCUUAAAAAGCUAUGUCCCCAAGACCAUAUCUGAAAGUCUGAUAAAAGACUUGAUUUCUCAGGAACCCUUGAGUUUCUAUUAAAAGAAGUGAGAGAGAUUGUGAGUUCUGCUCAUUUGCAAUUCAAGUCAUUCAUGUAGGAAUCCAAAUAUGAAGUUGGACUUUUAUCUUAUGAUGUAUUGACCUUUGUCUUGGGCUGUAGUAAAGCAAAUAUUAUAAGCUAACAAGUGACAUGAAAUUUUCAGUUACUCCUUAAAUGUUACAGUAGCAAAGAACCAAGCAGAAUUACUGAAGGGUCAAAGGCAUAGAUUAGAAACAUCAUUAAGAAAUGGUAAGAAUUAGUGAUAAGUUUUAUUGUCUUUGUUUUAUGACUUUCCUGUCUCAGUCGGGUCUGCAAACACACUGAUUCACGUUUAAUUGAACAACAGCUUCAUUGUGAAACCUGCCAUUCUUAGCUCCAGUAAAGAAAAUAUCUUUAAAAACACCGCCCUCGCUUUCUAACAUUGUACAGACAAAGAAUUACAGCUCAUCUGCCAUAGGAUAUUCUCUACAGUAGCAUCAUCUCCCUUAGGUCUCGUUUUCUCCAUCAUAUGUGGUGUGACAGCAGCAGUCUGGGGACCUGUGUGCUGUGUGUGCCUCUGUGCAGAAGGGCUCCUUCCCCCCUGCUCCUUCGUGCCCCUCAAUGCCUCAGUCAUUGCCA